rnacentral:rRNA from 1 species
UAGCAUACCGCUGACGACCGGCGCACGGGUGAGUAACACGUAUCCAACCUACCCCUCUCAGAGGGAUAGCCUUUCGAAAGAAAGAUUAAUACCCGAUCUUAUAGCGAUAAGGCAUCUUAUUGCUAUUAAAGAAUUUCGGUGUUUGAUGGGGAUGCGUUCCAUUAGAUUGUUGGUGAGGUAACGGCUCACCAAGUCUUCGAUGGAUAGGGGUUCUGAGAGGAAGGUCCCCCACAUUGGAACUGAGACACGGUCCAAACUCCUACGGGAGGCAGCAGUGAGGAAUAUUGGUCAAUGGACGAGAGUCUGAACCAGCCAAGUAGCGUGAAGGAUGAAGGCCCUAUGGGUCGUAAACUUCUUUUAUAGGGGAAUAAAGUGCGGAACGUGUUCCGCUUUGUAUGUACCCUACGAAUAAGGAUCGGCUAACUCCGUGCCAGCAGCCGCGGUAAUACGGAGGAUCCGAGCGUUAUCCGGAUUUAUUGGGUUUAAAGGGAGCGUAGGUGGACGUAUAAGUCAGUUGUGAAAGUUUGCGGCUCAACCGUAAAAUUGCAGUUGAUACUGUAUGUCUUGAGUGUACAAGAGGUGGGCGGAAUUCGUGGUGUAGCGGUGAAGUGCUUAGAUAUCACGAAGAACUCCGAUUG